GUUACAUGGACUAGAGGUCAGCAAAAGCAGAAGCCCCUCAAGAGCGUGCGCAGAGCUGCAGAGCCUUCAACACUCCAUAUGACGCCUUCAAUAGGAAGGGAGGAAGAUAAAUAACAUGGAAACAGAGAGAAUCACCUGGACCAAUUUUGGUAUUAAAAAACCUGGAAAAAGCA